AUGAAUGAAACUACUUCUCCAUUGCCUGAAAGUUGGUAUAAUGUGUUUGAAAGCCUUAUCAUUCCUCACUUUCCAAAUAUUCCACCACGCAAGGAAAACCAAUUCAGUAAAGAAAGGUUUGUUGAACUCCUUUCUUGCUUGCAAAGCAGUAUGUGCCAUGUCAUUGUUGUCUGUCCAAACUAUCUGAAGUUAGUUCCAUAUUCGAACACUGAAAAUAUAGUGGAAGAAAAGAUGAUUUCUAUCUUCCAAGGUCAAGGUUGGACAAAGGACACAUUCUGCACUUUUUUUUAUCCUUCGGGUUACGUCUUUUGGAGGAAUAUUUAUUUUAUGGAAAAACCACCCAAAUAUGUGAGUGGAAUCAUGUAUUAA
rnacentral:rRNA from 1 species